ensembl:snRNA U1 U1 spliceosomal RNA
AUACUUACGUGGCUGGGGAGAUACCAUGAUCAAGAAGGUGGUUCACCCAGGGGGAGGCUCGGCCAUUGCGCUCUGGCUGUCUGACCCCUGCGAAUCCCCCAAAUGCGAUAAUCUCGACUGCAUAAUUUGUUCUAGUGUGAGACUGUGUUUGCGCUCUCCCCUA